AGUCGCACGAGAAAGGGUAGCAAUACCUGAGUAAAGUGGCGCACGGGUGAGUAACACGUGAAUUAUCUACCUCCGAGUGGGGAAUAACUGAGAGAAAUCUUAGCUAAUACCGCAUAACACUUACGAGUCAAAGCAGCAAUGCGCUUGGAGAGGAGUUCGCGGCCGAUUAGUUAGUUGGCGGGGUAAUGGCCCACCAAGACGAUGAUCGGUAUCCGGCCUGAGAGGGCGCACGGACACACUGGAACUGAAACACGGUCCAGACUCCUACGGGAGGCAGCAGUGGGGAAUUUUGCGCAAUGGGGGAAACCCUGACGCAGCAACGCCGCGUGGAGGAUGAAGUAUCUUGGUACGUAAACUCCUUUCGAUUGGGAAGAUAAUGACGGUACCAAUAGAAGAAGCCCCGGCUAACUUCGUGCCAGCAGCCGCGGUAAUACGAGGGGGGCAAGCGUUGUUCGGAUUUAUUGGGCGUAAAGGGUGCGUAGGCGGUUUGGCAAGUCUUGUGUGAAAUCUAUGGGCUCAACCCAUAGUCUGCACAAGAAACUGCCGGGCUUGAGUAUGGGAGAGGUGAGUGGAAUUUCCGGUGUAGCGGUGAAAUGCGUAGAUAUCGGAAGGAACACCUGUGGCGA
rnacentral:rRNA from 1 species